UUUCGCUAUCCUUUUUAAUCCUAAUUCUUCAACUUUUCCAUCUAUUACAACUAGUUUCUGACUAGUUGUAAUAGAUGGAAAAGGACCAAUCACAGGGACCCAAUAUGAAU
rnacentral:pre_miRNA from 1 species